GACGAACGCUGGCGGCGCGCCUAACACAUGCAAGUCGAACGGAGUCAAGAGGAGCUUGCUUUUCUUGACUUAGUGGCGAACGGGUGAGUAACGCGUGAGUAACCUGCCCUGGAGUGGGGGACAACAGUUGGAAACGACUGCUAAUACCGCAUAAGCCCACGGAUCCGCAUGGAUCUGCGGGAAAAGGAUUUAUUCGCUUCAGGAUGGACUCGCGUCCAAUUAGCUAGUUGGUGAGGUAACGGCCCACCAAGGCGACGAUUGGUAGCCGGACUGAGAGAUUGAACGGCCACAUUGGGACUGAGACACGGCCCAGACUCCUACGGGAGGCAGCAGUGGGGGAUAUUGCACAAUGGGGGAAACCCUGAUGCAGCGACGCCGCGUGGAGGAAGAAGGUUUUCGGAUUGUAAACUCCUGUCGUUAGGGACGAUAAUGACGGUACCUAACAAGAAAGCACCGGCUAACUACGUG
rnacentral:rRNA from 1 species